rnacentral:rRNA from 1 species
AGUGAACGCUGGCGGUAGGCCUAACACAUGCAAGUCGAACGGCAACACAGUAAGAGUUUGCUCUUACGGGUGGCGAGUGGCGGACGGGUGAGGAAUACAUCGGAAUCUACUUUUUCGUGGGGGAUAACGUAGGGAAACUUACGAUAAUACCGCAUACGACCUACGGGUGAAAGCAGGGGAUCUUCGGACCUUGCGCGAUUGAAUGAGCCGAUGUCGGAUUAGCUAGUUGGCGGGGUAAAGGCCCACCAAGGCGACGAUCCGUAGCUGGUCUGAGAGGAUGAUCAGCCACACUGGAACUGAGACACGGUCCAGACUCCUACGGGAGGCAGCAGUGGGGAAUAUUGCACAAUGGGCGCAAGCCUGAUCCAGCCAUACCGCGUGGGUGAAGAAGGCCUUCGGGUUGUAAAGCCCUUUUAUUGGGAAAGAAAAGCAGCAGGUUAAUACCUCGCUGUUCUGACGGUACCCAAAGAAUAAGCACCGGCUAACUUCGUG